rnacentral:misc_RNA from 1 species
CAGGAGUUACAAACAAGUUGAAAACGCCCAAUUUAAUUUCUUUCCAGGAUCCUGUCCAGGCAAGUUUCAGAAUAAAGAGUACUGCUUUUGCAGAUUUUACUAACCAAAGAAUAGCAUAUGCCCAUUUCUAAGAGAAUAACCUAUCCCAAACAGAAAACCUAAAAUAAAAAAUCAUCAUACAGUUUCCUAGCCUCUUCAAAAUCUUCAUUCUUAGAAAUUCCAUGAAUCAGUGUAUUCUUUCGGAAGAAUACCCUUAUUGAUCAUCUCAAACCAAAGCUU